rnacentral:rRNA from 1 species
UAGGGAAUCUUCCACAAUGGACGCAAGUCUGAUGGAGCAACGCCGCGUGAGUGAAGAAGGUCUUCGGAUCGUAAAACUCUGUUGUUAGAGAAGAACACGAGUGAGAGUAACUGUUCUUGUAUUGACGGUAUCUAACCAGAAAGCCACGGCUAACUACGUGCCAA